rnacentral:rRNA from 1 species
ACGCUCGACACCUACGGGAGACAGCAGUCGGGAAUAUUGCGCAAGUGGAGGGAAACUCUGACGCAGUGACGCCGCGUAUAGGAAGAAGGUUUUCGGAUCGUAAACUAUUGUCGUUAGGGAAGAUACAAGACAGUACCUAAGGAGGAAGCACCGGCUAACUAUGUGCCAGCAGCCGCGGUAAUCUGAGCGGGCUGGCAAGGC